rnacentral:misc_RNA from 1 species
GUAGGUGAACCUGCGGAAGGAUCAUUAACGAAUGACGGUCUUUUUAGGCUGCUUCUUUUAUACCCGUGCUCCGACCGUGUGCUUUGGCGGGGGGUUCCGAUGGGAGGUUCUAAGAAUUCAUCCAGAGAAACUGCCCGCCAGCGGUUUUCAAUACACAUUUUUGUACUUGUCUGAACAAUUAUCGUCCCCUGGGACAAUUUUAAAAAUAAAAACUAUGAACAACGGAUCUCUAGGCUCUU